rnacentral:rRNA from 1 species
UACGUAGGGGGGCAAGCGUUGUCCGGAUUUAUUGGGCGUAAAGGGCGCGCAGGCGGCGCUUCAAGUCCGUUGUGAAAUUUCAGGGCUUAACCCUGACGGGUCAACGGAAACUGAAGGGCUAGAGUGCAGCAGAGGAAAGCGGAAUUCCCGGUGUAGUGGUGAAAUGCGUAGAUAUCGGGAGGAACACCAGAGGCGAAAGCGGCUUUCUGGGCUGUAACUGACGCUGAGGCGCGAAGGCUAGGGGAGCAAACAGG